rnacentral:rRNA from 1 species
UACGGGAGGAGCAAGCGUUGUUCGGAUUUACUGGGCGUAAAGGGCGCGUAGGCGGUCAGCACAAGUCAGUUGUGAAAUCUCCGAGCUUAACUCGGAACGGUCAACUGAUACUGUGCGACUAGAGUGCGGAAGGGGCAACUGGAAUUCUCGGUGUAGCGGUGAAAUGCGUAGAUAUCGAGAGGAACACCUGCGGCGAAGGCGGGUUGCUGGGCCGACACUGACGCUGAUGCGCGAAAGCCAGGGGAGCGAACGGG